rnacentral:rRNA from 1 species
AUUGAACGCUGGCGGCAGGCCUAACACCUGCAAGUCGAGCGAGCGGCGGACGGGUGAGUAAUGCCUGGGAAUUGCCCAGUCGAGGGGGAUAACAGUUGGAAACGACUGCUAAUACCGCAUACGAUUGGAUGGCACAGGUGGGAUUUGCUAGUUGGUGAGGUACGGGCUCACAAAGGCGACGAUCCCUAGCUGGUCUGAGAGGAUGAUAAGCCACACUGGAAAUGAGACACGGUCCAGACUCCUACGGGAGGCAGCAGGGGGGAAGAUUGGACAAUGGGGGAAACCCUGAUGCAGCCAUGCCGCGGGUGGGAAGAAGGCCUUCGGGUUGUAAAGCACUUUCAGCGAGGAGGCGGUACUCGAAGAAGAAGCACCGGCUAACUCCGUGCCAGCAGCCGCGGUAAUAC